GAAUCAAUUUUGUCGGUCGUGCCCUUUGGUACGUACUGGUAUUAUUGGUUUCUAUCUUCUGAAGAACCUUGAUGUCAUUAAUUUGAUGUCCUGGGAAAUCAGGACUGUUACCUUGAAAAAAUUAGAGUAUUUAAAGCAGGCAUGCGCUUGAAUACAUUAGCAUGGAAUAAUAAAAUAGGACGUUCGAUUCUAUUUUGUUGGGUUUUAGGAUUGACGUAAU
rnacentral:rRNA from 1 species